rnacentral:rRNA from 1 species
CAUGCAGGCGGUUAGACAAGUCAGAUGUGAAAUCCCCGCGCUUAACGUGGGCAUUGCAUUUGAAACUAUGUAGCUAGAGUUCUGUAGAGGGGGGUAGAAUUCCAGGUGUAGCGGUGAAAUGCGUAGAGAUCUGGAGGAACACCAGUGGCGAAGGCGACUUUCUGGACUAUAACUGACGCUGAGGCUCGAAAGCGUGGGGAGCAAACAGGAUUAGAUACCCCAGUA